UCCCUGAUGGCUCAGAGGGUAAAGCGUCUGUCUACAAUGCAGGAGACCCGGGUUCGAUCCCUGGAUCGGGAA
rfam:Ovis aries breed Texel chromosome 8, whole genome shotgun sequence.